rnacentral:misc_RNA from 1 species
UAGAGACUGCCGUGGGUCAUCCCGGCCGCUUCGGUCAGCGCGUCCACGCCUACACCGGUGAUGCCGCGCUCUCGCAUGAGGCGGGACGCAGCCUUGAGAAUUCGGUCGCGGUUUUCAGCCGCCUUUUCUUUGGAAACACGCAUGGCGCAGAUAUUAGGCCAGAAAGGGGCCUUGACAAGUAUAAUUACGAUCGUCAUCUAUAAAAAAUAGUUACGAUCGCAAUCAAAAAGCGCUGAAUUUGACCAGUGCAAGUGUCCCCCCUUGUCGCCGCCAGC